rnacentral:rRNA from 1 species
CCUACGGGGCGCAGCAGUGGGGAUAUUGGACAAUGGGCGAAAGCCUGAUCCAGCCAUGCCGCGUGUGUGAAGAAGGCCUUCGGGUUGUAAAGCACUUUCAGUGGGGAAGAAAGCCUUGGGGCUAAUACCCUCGAGGAAGGACAUCACCCACAGAAGAAGCACCGGCUAACUCCGUGCCAGCAGCCGCGGUAAUACGGAGGGUGCGAGCGUUAAUCGGAAUUACUGGGCGUAAAGCGCGCGUAGGCGGUCUGAUAAGCCGGUUGUGAAAGCCCCGGGCUCAACCUGGGAACGGCAUCCGGAACUGUCAGGCUAGAGUGCAGGACAGGAAGGUAGAAUUCCCGGUGUAGCGGUGAAAUGCGUAGAGAUCGGGAGGAAUACCAGUGGCGAAGGCGGCCUUCUGGACUGACACUGACGCUGAGGUGCGAAAGCGUGGGUAGCAAACAGGAUUAGAUACCCGAGUAGUC